rnacentral:tRNA from 1 species
GGCUCAGUAGCUCAGCUGGUUAGAGCAGGGGCUUCAUACGUCCAAGGUCGCAGGUUCAAGUCCCGCCUGAGCUA